AGUGAACGCUGGCGGCGUGCUUAACACAUGCAAGUCGAACGAGAACGGAUUAUAGCUUGCUAUAAUUGUCAGCUAAGUGGCGCACGGGUGAGUAAUGUAUAGGUAAUAUGCCUCUUACUAAGGGAUAACAAUUGGAAACGAUUGCUAAUACCUUAUAUUCCUUUUUACCAAAAGAUAAAAAGGGAAAGAUUUAUUGGUAAGAGAUUAGCCUGUAUUGUAUCAGUUAGUUGGUGGGGUAAUGGCCUACCAAGACGAUGACGCAUAACUGGUUUGAGAGGAUGAUCAGUCACACUGGAACUGAGACACGGUCCAGACUCCUACGGGAGGCAGCAGUGGGGAAUAUUGCACAAUGGACGAAAGUCUGAUGCAGCAACGCCGCGUGGAGGAUGACACAUUUCGGUGCGUAAACUCCAAGUAUAUAAGAAGAUAAUGACGGUAUUAUAUGAAUAAGCACCGGCUAACUCCGUGCCAGCCGCCGCGGUAA
rnacentral:rRNA from 1 species